UGAAACUUUUAUUUUCAAGUAAAAGAGGGAUUUGACAGUUUGGAAAUGCUGCAAUUAUAAUAUUUAUAAUAUUUCUUUUUUGUAGAUGUCUAACCAAUGAGAUGUCUAACCAAUAAACCUCUGUCGGAAAUUACAAAUACAAAACGGGUAUAAAGAAUAAACAUGCCUUUGGUGAUUCCAACUAGAUUGAAAUAAUAAGAGGUGAGUAUUAAAAUAUAUUUCAUUGUUUUUCCACAUUAAAAGUGUGCGACAUUUUGUCACAAUUCCUUUUAAAUGUGCUCUAGGAUCUUUGUCUACUAAAAUCUAUAGGGUUUUCUUUUAUAUUAAAAUUAUAAAUUAUUUUCUAUCUGAACUCAUGUUUAAAAGUACAUGGUACCUCUCAAUGGAUAUUAAAAGAAAAAAAUAAUAGCAUUGCAGUGAUUAUUUGUUCACAUAUGACACUAGUGUUCUUUACAAAAUUAGCCAAGUUAUGUUAAUACAAUAUGUUUUUUUUUUCUGUUGUAGAUGCUGUAAACGAAUGUUCAAUGAAGACUACAAUAUGGAACAACAGUGCAAGAUGCCUAGAAUAUGUCUCUGAAAUAUCUGGGAAUGUACCUAGCAGAAGGACUUAUUUUUCAAAAUAAAAUUAAGUAUUCAGAUUGUGUUUGUUUGAAAUUGUGUGAUGCAUAAGUGGGCAACUUGUUGUAUAAUUACUGUUUUAUGUAACAAAUAUUUUUUGAGUGUGAACAGAAUAGAUGAAGGUACAACAUGUACAAUUUCUAUCAAUAAAAAUGAAGGCACAAAAAUGUAUGCUAACUGAACAACAUACUACAUGUACACCAACCACCAACACAUGACUAUCCAACUUAAUAGAACAUAUACUUUUGCGAAACUUUUACUACACAUUAAAUGGCAUUUAUGGAUAUAAUAAAGGGUAACGAUUUCAGCUGUUAACAAACCUCAAUUCAACCAGUGUUCAACAUCAUAUUCUCAACAUUUACCGCAUUAACAGUCUACCUGGCCACAAUUCCCACCUAUUUUCAACAUACACUGACCACAGUUCAAC
rnacentral:lncRNA from 1 species